CGAUUUGAACAGGUUUGCGCAACAAUUUAUUGAAAAUAGCAACAUGAUCAAGAAUAUUAUCGUACUUGUGUCUUUUAUCGCUGCAGUGCAGUCUGCUUGUGACAAUGCCUG
rnacentral:ribozyme from 1 species